rnacentral:lncRNA from 1 species
UAAAUACAAAAUUAAAAAUAAAAGUGGAAUGUAAUGAUAAAAACAUCAAAAUACACCUUAUCAAAUAAAAGUGGAAUGUAAUGAUAAAAACAUCAAAAUACACCUUAUCAAAUAAAAGUGGAAUGUAAUGAUAAAAACAUCAAAAUACACCUUAUCAAAUAAAAGUGGAAUGUAAUGAUAAAAACAUCAAAAUACACCUUAUCAUUUAUCUGAGAAAUAAAGCUAUGCAUUGACUCGCCAACACUUGUAUUAGCUUUUCUUAGUUAAAAUUUUACUAUCAAAUUUCAAUACUUCAAAAUACUCAUGUAAUCAUACAAUUGAAACAAAACUGUAGAUAAUGAACAAUAGUAUGUUGCAAGUUAAAACCUCUGAAAAUGAAAACCAUAAUCAUUUAAAAGCAAUCAAAAUUUUAUAUUUAUAAGCAAUACACAAUAAUCAAUCACAUAAGACAGGCUAAUAAAACAUUAUUAAGAUCUACUAAAUCAUCAGUGUAGUCAAUUGUUCUUAUCUGUGGAGAGCAUGCCAACAAUUUGUCUUCGUUAUUAUAGAUCAUCAAAAUUGUUCCAUCCUUUAAACCCCAAGUAGAUAAAUCAGCAGCUAAACAGGUUCCUUAAUCAACCAAUCUAGAUCAGCUUUAAUGUUUUGCUUGAUAAUGAUCUCUUAAUGCUAGGAUUUCUUGAUCCCAUAUUCCUUUACUCACAUAUAUGAAACAUAAUCAGACAAUCAAAAUAUCGAAUAAUAUGGCAGAUAAAAUGCUACCUUGAACGAAAAAGAGACGCCUGUUAGUUGAAAUUGAUGAGGGGAACCGAUUUGGGAGAGAGUUGAAACCACGUGAGAGAAGGGUUCUUGAGCGAUAUGUAAGGGAAGAACGAUAUGUCAAGGGAAACGGCAAAGAGCAUAAAGGAGAUAGACCCAGUCAUGAGAGUUUCAAUGAAGGACCGAAUCAUCACAAAAUUAGGGACCGAGUCCUUCAUUUGGACCGAGUCCAAGGAUGGAGAAGGGAAAAACAAACAAGCUAUUUUGGACUGAGGACCGGGUCCUUACUUUGGAUCCAGUUAGAAAGGAAAUCAAACGAGCCCUUAUUUUUUUAACCGACAGUUGCUUGACAUUCUAUUAUAAUGGUCA